rnacentral:lncRNA from 1 species
AGUGUGAGUUAAUCCUGCGCCGGUUGAUGAAUCAUUUUAAGUCUCUUCAAGGUUCGUUUGAUCAUUUAGUGAUCAGUGUCGUUCAUGUUUGUAGGCUAAAAGAAGAGUUCAAGGUAGCCUGUAGUAAAUCUUGCGCCGAGGAUGAUGGUUGGAUCGAGCUCGGGGUUUUACAGAUAUGGGUCGAGCUCGUCAACAGAGUCGCUGAUUUGAGCAAUAUGAGGAGUUCCCUUGACCUCUCGUGGUAGGUUGGACUCGAAUGACAAACAUGUUUAUAGAGUCUGUUUCUGCUUAAGAAAUUUUGAUGUGCGUCUAGUCGCUUAUUCCACAUCGACUCGGGUUUGUGUUAAUACUUUUGUAUUUGUGCAAAGGUGUUGGAGAUGUAUAUAGUCCCAACGAAUCAUUAAGUCAAUGCAAAAUGAUUGGGUACACAUAGAGAGCAGACGUUUAUUUAGGUUCGGCUAUAGGAGCAAUUUAUAUCGCUCGUCCUCAAGAUGUUUUGCGAGAUGGAAGCUGAUCAGGAA